rnacentral:rRNA from 1 species
UGUCACAGCCAUAUCACCCUGCAGCCCCAGAUCGGUUACUCACUGAAGCUAAGCAGGGCUGAGCCUGGUUAGUACCUGGAUGGGAGACCACUAGGGAACACUAGGUUGCUGUUGGAA